rnacentral:piRNA from 1 species
UCCACAGCUGAAGGGAUAGAGAAACUGCC